GGACAGAGUCUCUGGUUACUAAGCAACCUCAACGUCUUGGCGGACUAUUUCUCUGCUGAUCAACACUACAGACACUACACGAACAGAAAUGGAGGUGGAUCAAAAUAUCAUCGUCGCCGUGUGCGGCCGUCCUGUCCUGUACGACACCACGAUGGUGUCGUACAGGGACAGGAACAAAACAGAGAGGGCGUGGGUCGACGUGGCAGAGGAUAUUGGCGUUCCUGACCAGCCCAGCAGUGAGUCAGACCCAGAGGACGCUGAUGCUGCUCCUGCCCCUGUCCCUGCCGCUGGCCCUUCCUGUGUACCUGUCCCUGAGGCUGCCCCUGCCCCAAGACCACAGGGCGCGACGAAGAGGAAGAGAGCAGCCAGGGUACCGGAGGGGAAUACUGUCCAGACAGCCAUCCUCCAGGCCCUGCAGAGGCAUAAUUCUGUGCCUACCCCUACCCCGCUUUCUGGGAAUGAGCACUUUGCCAUGGGCCUAGUUCCUUCCCUGGAUAGAUUGCCACCUGAAGUACUGGAGUACGUUAAAUUCCAAAUCCAUAAAGUCAUAUUUGACCAUUCUAAUUUCACCGUUCAAUUGGAACCUAUUUAAGCUUAUUAGCUAGUGGUGGUGACAAUCUCUCCAGGGAAAGAACUAGGCUGAUGUCACUGUUAACUGUUCAUUUGUUAUUGUUCUGUUCUGUUUAUAUUAUAUUGUUCUAUGUU